GUCAAGGAAAUGGGCACAGAGGGCACUGCCAAGUUAAUGCAGGCAGGACAUGAGCUUGUAUGCGGCCCUGCCCUCCUAAUCACCGACGUGGAGAUACGGGUUGUUGGCCAAGGCCUCGUGCAGUUGUAAUCGCUGCGUCCUUAAUGUUGGGUGGGUUAUUUGUAACUUGUUGGCAGCCAUUUUGGAGGCCUGUUCCAGCCAGAGAGUUGAUGAAGACUGAAAGAGAUCUGAACUCAACCUGAACUGUCUCUGUCAUUGUUGCCUGACUUAUGACACCCAGGAAUGUGUAAAUGGUUUGUGGUUGUUCGGGGACAAUUUGAAACUGUAUUGGAAGGAGGAAGAGAAAAUGGAGAAAGGAUGAAUGCUCACACAAAUACAUUUCUCCAUUCUUGGACAGAGAGAGAGAACUUGACAGAAACUGGGUCGGAAAUUCACCUUUUGGCAAGACAAAACAAAGAGUAGAAAGACAAGAAAUAGACAUCAAACUGUUAUAAAUCUUCUCUUCUCUGAAAUUACGAGUAUGGGGAAAAAAGAAAGAAAAGGAGAUCAUAAGGAGGUCAAAAACCAGAUUUGGACUCAACUGGAGUAUAACCAUUCUCCUUCUGCAUAUCUUAAAUUGAUGUGAGUGACCACAUUCAUUUUCAUUUGUGGCCAAAAUUGUAUGUUGGGCUUAUAAAUUAAGACAUUUUGUGCACACUGGGCAUGCUCCACACAGUGUCAUGGAGGUAGGUGACAUCCACUCACAGUUACCGGAGAGAGACAAAGUUUCUCUGGAAGUUUAUGGAGAUGGCUGCUGCGGGUUUGAGAAAUUGUAUUUUAAUUGUUUUGAAUUACAUCCACAGCAUGUCACAAGUGAUGUACUGACUGGCAAAGGCCACGAUGACUCAGCAAUCUAGAUGUCUGAGAUGUUUCAAUUUAUGUUUCACAUAAAACUAUCUUCAGACAAAACAAAGACCUGCUUCCACAUAACUGUGUGAGAACCCCUCUCAUCCUUUCCCUGUAAUUGUUUACACUUAACAACCACAGACAAAACAGGCUGCUGCAAAUGACAUGACAAAUAUUAAGUUUAACAGCUAAAACAAUUCUACAUUUGUAUUUAUGUGUUAGCUGUGUUCCUAUGGGAAGCUGUGGAUGGAGGGACUCUAUGUGACUAAGGAAAUCGUCCCUGAGGGAAUCGAUGAACAGAGGCUUGGGAAAGCACUGUAUAUACACUCUCUAAAGACUGCCCAGAGUUAAACACUACACUUAGCUACAUGCGUACGAGCCUAACCGGCAUGUCGGCUUUCUAAACAGCACAUGCUGAACCACAGACAGCUGUGGGAACCAGCCUAAAAGUGCUUUCAAGUGAGAUUAACAUGUAUAUACAUUUAAAAAUAAAAUUGCCCUAAAAAAAUGCUGGAAAAAUAGCAGCAAAACUGGUUUAGUCAUUUGUAAAGAGUUUAGAUUUAUUGUGUGUUGUUCAUUUGCUAUAUUCCAAAUCUCGUUGUAAUAUCCAAUUGAAUUACGUGCAUCCUUUAUAAUAAUUGGUUCAGAUUUGUCCCUCAUUGAUUGUGUAAGAUCAUGCAUCUCAAAGAUACACUUGUCUUAACUGGGAAGCAUUUUCUGUUACAUAGUCAGCUCAAUAAUAAUUGUAUUACUCCGAAUAUUGAAUUAACCAUAAAAAAUCUAUUUGGCACAGUGAAAUAAAGCAAGCCAAACUUACA